GAUGAACGCUAGCUACAGGCUUAACACAUGCAAGUCGAGGGACCGGCGCACGGGUGAGUAACACGUAUCCAACCUACCCUUUACUCGGGGCUAGCCUUUCGAAAGAAAGAUUAAUACCCGCUAUAAAGGAUGGGGAUGCGUUCCAUUAGUUUGUUGGUGAUGUAAAGGCCAACCAAGCCUUCGAUGGAUAGGGGUUCUGAGAGGAAGGUCCCCCACAGUGGAACUGAGACCCGGUCCAAACUCCUACGGGAGGCAGGAGUGAGUAACAUUGGUCAAUGGGCGCUAGCCUGAACCAGCCAAGUAGCGUGAAGGAUGAAGGCUUAUGGGGCGUAAAUUUUUUGUAUAUAAGAAUCGGUACUAUAUGAGUAAGGAUCGGCUAACUCCGUGCCAGCAGCCGCGGUAAUUC
rnacentral:rRNA from 1 species